rnacentral:rRNA from 1 species
AACGAACGCUGGCGGCAUGCCUAACACAUGCCAGUCGAACGAGACCUUCGGGUCUAGUGGCGCACGGGUGCGUAACGCGUGGGAAUCUGCCCUUGGGUUCGGAAUAACAGUUGGAAACGACUGCUAAUACCGGAUGAUGACGUAAGUCCAAAGAUUUAUCGCCCAGGGAUGAGCCCGCGUAGGAUUAGCUAGUUGGUGGGGUAAAGGCCUACCAAGGCGACGAUCCUUAGCUGGUCUGAGAGGAUGAUCAGCCACACUGGGACUGAGACACGGCCCAGACUCCUACGGGAGGCAGCAGUGGGGAAUAUUGGACAAUGGGCGAAAGCCUGAUCCAGCAAUGCCGCGUGAGUGAUGAAGGCCUUAGGGUUGUAAAGCUCUUUUACCCGGGAUGAUAAUGACAGUACCGGGAGAAUAAGCCCCGGCUAACUCCGUG